UACGUAGGGUGCGAGCGUUAAUCGGAAUUACUGGGCGUAAAGCGUGCGCAGGCGGUUUUGCAAGCCGGAUGUGAAAUCCCCGGGCUCAACCUGGGAAUGGCAUUCGGGACUGCAAGGCUGGAGUGCGGCAGAGGAGACUGGAAUUCCCAGUGUAGAGGUGAAAAUUCGUAGAUAUUGGGGAAGAACACCGGUGGCGAAGGCGGCUCUCUGGACCACAACUGACGCUGAGGCGCGAAAGCGUGGGGGAGCAAACAGG
rnacentral:rRNA from 1 species